rnacentral:rRNA from 1 species
AGGAUUAACGCUGGCGGCGUGCAUGAAACAUGCAAGUCGAGCGCGGUGUGAUGCGGGGUAACCCAAUUCACAUCUAGCGGCGAACGGGUGAGUAACACGUGAGCAACCUACCUUUGAGUUGGGGAUAGCCCUGGGAAACCAGGAUUAAUACCCGAUGUGGUCACAACAGGACAUCCUGAUGUGAGUAAAGGCGCAAGCCGCUCAAUGACGGGCUCGCGGCCUAUUAGCUUGUUGGUGGGGUAACGGCCUACCAAGGCGAUGAUGGGUAGCUGGUCUGAGAGGACGAUCAGCCACACUGGGACUGAGACACGGCCCAGACUCCUACGGGAGGCAGCAGUUAGGAAUUUUCCGCAAUGGGCGAAAGCCUGACGGAGCAACGCCGCGUGAGUGAUGAAGACCUUAGGGUUGUAAAGCUCUGUCGGAGGGAAGAACACAAUGACGGUACCCUCCAAGAAAGCCCGGCUAACUACGUGCCAGCAGCCGCGGUAAU